UACGUAGGGACCAAGCGUUGUUCGGAUUUACUGGCGUAAAGGGCGCGUAGGCGGCUUAACAAGUCACUUGUGAAAUCUCCGGCUUAACUCGGAACGGCCAAGUGAAACUGUCAAGCUAGAGUGCAGAAGGGCAGUCGGAAUUCUGGUGUAGCGGUGAAUGACGUAGAUAUCAAGAGGAACACCUGAGGUGAAGACGGUGCUGGCUGACACUGACGCUGAGGCGCGAAGCCAGGGAGGC
rnacentral:rRNA from 1 species